rnacentral:rRNA from 1 species
GAUGAACGCUGGCGGCGUGCUUAACACAUGCAAGUCGAACGGAAAGGCCCCGCCUUUGUGGGGUGCUCGAGUGGCGAACGGGUGAGUAACACGUGAGUAACCUGCCCUUGACUUUGGGAUAACCUUAGGAAACUGGGGCUAAUACCGGAUAGGACCUUCUGCUGCAUGGUGGGGGUUGGAAAGUUUCGGCGGGUGGGGAUGGGCUCGCGGCUUAUCAGCUUGUUGGUGGGGUAGUGGCUUACCAAGGCUUUGACGGGUAGCCGGCCUGAGAGGGUGACCGGCCACAUUGGGACUGAGAUACGGCCCAGACUCCUACGGGAGGCAGCAGUGGGGAAUAUUGCACAAUGGGCGGAAGCCUGAUGCAGCAACGCCGCGUGCGGGAUGACGGCCUUCGGGUUGUAAACCGCUUUCGCCUGUGACGAAGCGUGAGUGACGGUAAUGGGUAAAGAAGCACCGGCUAACUACGUG